rnacentral:lncRNA from 1 species
CAAGGCAUGCACACCCAUAUCAAACUAUUCACUUUCAGAGGCACUUCAUGUUGCAAGUGAAUGCAAGCUGAUGCUUUGAUGGAGAAAAGUAAUUUGAAGUCUGAAUCCAUCAGUAAUGAGGAUCUGCUGGAUGCUGUAGAAUCUAGAAUAUUCCAUUAUUUCCAUGGGGUGUAUGAUGUGGUGUGUUAAACUGUGGUUGUUGCUUGGAGCAAAUUCAGAUACCACAGUAAGUUCAGCUGUUGAGAAUGGUGAGAUGCCCAUAUUUUUGUGAGUAACUUGCAAAGUGAAUGAUUAUGAGCCUCCCUGCACCAUGCUUGCCUGUGCAGGAUCCUUCCCUUCUUCUGCCCUGGAAGAUCAUUCUCUUGUGCUAUGUGUACUGUGCUUUUGCUACCUACUCAGCAGGUAAUCCAUCUUGGCAACAAAUCCCCACUCACCUCUCCAUAGAACUGAAUGAAGGAUCCUGGUUACUUGUAAUUGUGUGCAUCUGUGUUUGUUUAGUGGAAUCCUGUGGAAGCAUCCAGCCCUAGGCUCAAGGUGUGAUCCAUCCAUACAAGAUGUAUGGUGUGACUUGCAGAUAACAUGAGGAGUCAUGCCAUUGUGAAGCAACUUGUUUGGCGAGGAGACAGGGAACUUUACUGUCUGCAGUGAAGUGAAGUCAUCCCACAAGAUGGCAAUACUAGCUAAAUCCCAAAACAUAUACAAACAUUAGGUGUAAGUUGAUGUGAGAAAUACAGCAACCUCAAUGUCAUUAUUCAUUGUGGCACACUACGUAAGUUUCAAAGUCACCAUUUCUUGGUUUCAAGCAAUUUCACAUUA